CCCAAAUUCGGGAGUUAGAAACAGGCUGUGACCAUUCUCAGAACCCCUGGGAAUGACUGACUCCAAAGACCUUUCACAGUUCUCACGUUAACAACACCUCUUCUUGUUGAAGAGAAGUGGCUGAAACACUUCUUGGAAGGAGGCUGUGGGUUUGUCACUCUAGGCUCAGAAACAUGGGAGAGGAGAUUGAAGAUGGGUCUGAAGUGGACAAGCCAGUCCAUAAAGGCAAGUCUGUGCCGGUACCAAAUUGGAUGAAUAAAGAAACUUUGACAAUGCAACAGUCUGGAUUUGAUACCAGGUAUACAAAUGAAGACGCAUCAGAGAAAGAAUUAGCAGGGAUUGAAAUCUAUACAAACCAAGUUUUCACUGUCUGCAUGACCUUGAAUGAAUCACACACCUUGCUCUAGUUCAUUCAAUAAAGCAUUCU